GUAGGUGUGGGGUUGUUUCUUUGUCUGGAUGGAUGUGUGGCUUUGCUGUUCCUGCUCACAGGCAAGCAGAUUUGUAACCAGUGUCUCUUCAUACCAAGUGCUCGAGCAAGAACAGAAAAUGCCUCAAGCCUGGCAGUAAAUCCCACAAGCAGAUUCAGAGCGUGCUGACCCAAAGUACAAAUUACUUUAUUUGUGGGGGGUUGGUGUGCGUCUGUUGUUGUAUCCGUGAGCCUGCGCAGGAUGAUGGGAGUGAAAUGAAACACGAGAGAAGGCAUUUCCAUUGAUGAAUAAGAAAUCUCUGUCCUCUUUCUGGGAACCGUAGACAUCAGCUGGGUUGGACCUGGAGCGAGUACUGCUUCUGGAGAUCAGGAAGUGAAAAAGUGAAACUGUCUUCUCUUAUAAACCUGGA